UACGUAGGGUGCGAGCGUUAAUCGGAAUUACUGGGCGUAAAGCGUGCGCAGGCGGUUCGUUAAGUUCGUCGUGAAAGCCCCGGGCUCAACCUGGGAACUGCGAUGGAAACUGGCGGGCUUGAGUGUGGCAGAGGGGGGUGGAAUUCCGCGUGUAGCAGUGAAAUGCGUAGAUAUGCGGAGGAACACCGAUGGCGAAGGCAAUCCCCUGGGCCUGCACUGACGCUCAUGCACGAAAGCGUGGGGAGCAAACAGG
rnacentral:rRNA from 1 species